AUUGAACGCUGGCGGCAGGCCUAACACAUGCAAGUCGAACGAGUGGCGGACGGGUGAGUAAUGUCUGGGAAACUGUCUGAUGGAGGGGGAUAACUACUGGAAACGGUAGCUAAUACCGCAUACCAUCGGAUGUGCCCAUAUGGGAUUAGCUAGUAGGUGGGGUAACGGCUCACCUAGGCGACGAUCCCUAGCUGGUCUGAGAGGAUGACCCGCCACACUGGACCUGAGACCCGGUCCAGCCUCCUACGGUAGGCAGCAGUGUGGAAUAUUGCACAAUGGGCGCAAUCCUGAUGCAGCCAUUCCGCGUGUAUUAAGAAGGCCUUCGGGUUGUAAAGUACUUUCAGCGUGGAGGCGUUACCCGCAGAAGAAGCACCGGCUAACUCCGUGCCAGCAGCCGCGGUAAUUC
rnacentral:rRNA from 1 species